GUCCAAACACAAUAAGUUUUGUAAUCAAUAAGAAAGCUUGUUAUGGCUCAAUGCAUAAGUUUCUUGCCUCUAUUAAUGGAAAUAUGAAAGGACUUUAUUCUGGUGCUGUAAGCUGAAGAAAAAGGAGUGGGGAAAAAAAUCAAACACCUUGUGUGCAAUGCAGGAUUCAGUGGAUUUUGGUUCUGUAGAUUUCAAGACAAUGUUAGUAUAUCAACUGCAAAUGCAAAUGCAGAUAGUUGGUUUUAUUUCCAGCUACUGUAUGGGUUCAAAAUUUCAACUUUUUCUGCUUGAGAUGGAUUUCUCCAAGUGUUGUUACAUCUGUUCUUGAUUCACGGCGGCUGACGGUGAUGGUUGGCGGCGGAGGGUGGUGGUUUGUGGUGGUGAUAUUGGCGGGGACGGCUCAAUCUUUCUCUUAAUGGUACCUUUUUGUAUAUCAUUUUGAUCUUGAUUUUAACUUUAAUUUUCUACAUUGCCUUUUGGUUUUUAUUGUUAUUGUAGAAAAUUUGGGAUUAAUUAUAUUUAUCUUUGGCCUCUUUUUAAGAAGAAAAAAAAAUACAAUUAAAUUUAAUGAUGCAGCAUCAGCAAUAUAUUACUACUUGAUGCAGUUGCUCAAA